UUUAACUCCAUGAUAAAAAAAACGCGCAUUCAACGGUGACCCACUGUGCUCAUUUCAUCUUUUUCCCAACUGGUAAAACACAUAAUCAUUAUCGUAAAUUCGUAAUUCUAUUUCCGUUUGCAUAUCAUUUUCCUCGUUGACACCGGACACCCUUCUUAGCCGCUACUCCGUACUAGGGUUUGGUUUCUCUUAUUUUUAAUUUUCGGUAGUGUUUAUUUCCAUUUUUACUCUACCUUGCAAGCUAUUAAUGAUCUUCUCCGUGUUCUGGCAAAAAAUUGUGGAAUUCAAAGGGUUUUCAAGGUUUAAGGGGAGAUAAGACGGGUACUUGGUAUUUUGGUGGGAGGACUUUUUUAUUUUUAUUUUUUCAUUUUGAAAAUUUGCGGUCGUGACUGUGUACUGUCUUGAAUUUUGAUUACUGCUUCAGCUUUGGAAUGAUUUGAAAGAGUGAUGGCGUGUUCAUUUGAAGAUCUGGAACUGGUUUACAUCUAGUGGGAUAUUUUAUUUUCGUUUUUAUUCCACCUUGCUAGUUAGUAUUUUUCUUCUCAGUGUUCUGGGAAUAAGAAACAGUGUAAAUUUGUGAAAUUCGAAAUUAUUUCAAGGUUUAAAGGAAAAAAGAUACAGUCUUGAUUCUGUGUUAUCUUGAAGUUUUGAUUGUUCGCUUUAUCUUUGUAAUGAUUUGAAAGAUAGGUGGCCAUGUUCAUUUGAAGAUCUAGAACCGUUUUAAAUCUAGUGGGAUAUUUUAUUCAGGAAGAAUUGAGCUUUUGCAUUGUUGAAGUAUAGUUGUUGACUUGAAAAGGGAAAAUGGAUAAUUCAAAUCUGCCUGGGCAGAUGAAUAGACAGAUUGAUCAUUUGGGUGUGAACAAGAUGGGAAAAAACAUUAAGAAGAGUCCUUUACACCAGCCCAAUUUUUCUGGCCCUGCUAGGCAACAGCCUCAACCCCAGGUCUACAAUAUUAACAAGAAUGAUUUCCGUAAUAUAGUUCAGCAGCUCACUGGAUCUCCUUCUCAAGAACCGCCAUCUAGACCUCCCCAAAACCCUCCAAAACCUGCAAGUAACCGAUUACAGAGAAUUCGCCCUCCGCCUUUGGCACCAAUGAAUCAACCUCAAAUCCCGAUUCAUCCUUCUAUGCCAAUGCCUGCAUCAGCACACCCUGUACGGGAGCUUCCUAACAACUUUGCAAGACCUCCUCCCCCUCCAGCCCAUUAUGGCCAACCUUCACCACCUGUGUUCCCACCAACUCCUACUGAUGUUUGGGCAAAUACAGCUGAGUCUCCUUUAUCAGCUUAUAUGCGCUACCUGCAAAAUUCAAUCAUCGAUCCAGGUUUCCGACAACCCCAGCCUCAUUAUCAACCUCACUUGCAACCUCAUGUUCCUGGUCAAAAUCUAGCUCGGCCAGCGGGUUCUGGUUUGCUUCCUAAUCCUACCAUGCAACCGUUCCCAUCUCCAAGAAUGAAUGGUCAUCCAAUCCCUCUUCCGUCACCUCGCAUGAAUGGCCCCUUGCCCCAUCUUCCUUCCCCUAGGAUGAAUGGCCCUCCUCCCCUUUUACCCUCUCCUACUUCUCAGUUCCUUUUACCUUCACCUACUGGCUAUUUGAAUUUAUUGUCUCCUCGAUCACCUUAUCCAUUACUUUCUCCAGGGUAUCAGCAUCCUCCUCCUCUGACUCCUAAUUUCUCAUUUUCUUCCGUGCCCCAAUCUGGAAUUUUAGGUCCUGGACCCCAGCUACCUCCUUCUCCUGGUUAUGGAUUUCCUUUGUCACCUUCAGGGUUUUUCCCUCUACUAAGUCCUAGAUGGAGGGAUGAAUAUUCUUAAAAGCACAAGCUACUGACUCGCAAGGGAUACAAAUACUGUCAUUUUUUAUGACUUUCUUCAUGUUGAGUCAUUUCUUCUGUAUCAUAGCUUCUCCUAUGGAUUUCAAUGUACACCGAGAUGCAACGGUUCAUCGUGGAAGUAUGUAGUCUUCGUGUUUGCUGUUGUUUUUCUUGUUUAUACAGGCGCCUUCUGAGAUGUGGAUUCUGUAACAGCUGCAAUCUGUUUUUAUCUGCCCAAAAUGAUUUACUUCAGGUGAUAUUCUGAAGAUUGGACCACUUCUGCAUACACAUGGGCGGCUGCAGCAUGUAAGCAGGUAGUAUUAUAGUCUUUGCAGAUUCAUGUAGGCCAGCUGAUGAAAAAGUAGUUUUGCAUUUUUGUAAUAUUGUUCAUCUUACAGUUAGUCUGAAUUGAGAUUCUUAGUGACUUUAUAAGAGCAUAAAAGUUCUCACUUUUCUGUUAAAUCAUUUUGCUUUUGCACUUGUAUUUUCAUAUACAAUCAUCUAUGUAUUUUUUUUUCCUUGGUAAGCUGUGAAUUUUUUGGGCUUAUUGAUAAUUUGUCUUUCUGAGCAAUUCUUGUGGUGGUAACAACUGCUAUUGCAAUUAAAAUUAAAUAAGUUUGUCUCGGAUGGAUGUGUGGAUGAGAUGGAAGUUAAAAAUAGUUUAUUUUUAGCAUUUUACUUGUUGAUAUGUAUAUUCAUAUUUUUAUUCAAUUUAGAAAAAUGUACUACCACUUCGGCAGUAGAAUUGUUGUUUGGCUUAUGUGUUUCAUUUACAAGGGUUGUCAGAAAACAUUUGACAAUUCUUGUCGUCUAUGACAGCAACCUCUGGAGGCACUUGUCCCUUUAGAUUUAGCUUGGCAAAUUUAUAAAUGGUUUAUAAAGAGAAAUAAUAUGGGUCUACUACAUAUGUGGAUAAUAAAUGAUUAGUAGUACUUAAUGUGUUGUUGAAGUUAACAUUUAACGUUGACUGAACUUAUAACCUACUUGUAAAUUGGCUUGCCAAACAGAGGUUUAGCCCUUGUUUGAUUCCCAUUCUUUUAUUAUUAAAAUGAAAAAUAUAACCGUUAUCCAUCACAUCAAGUCACAAAAUUUGAAUUUUUAUUUCUUGUGUGGGGCCCAUAACAGCUAUAUUUUUCAUUCACAUUCUUCAAAAGAUGAGAAACAAAUGGGGGCUUAAUUUUAUUUUUGUCUUCAAUGGAUGUCCUCACCUUUGUCAAGCAAGAUUAUCACCUUAUGGUGUGAUUUACAUGCCUCAUUGUCAAGCAUUAUCAUAGAUGCUGUUUUGUUUUAUUUUUAUUUUUCUUUUUUGAUUCUGAUAGUAUGUUAUUGAUAUAUUCUUCAUACACAAUCCUCUACAACUGAUGGAUGGGUUUAACUAUCGAUUCCGUUGAUCUCUUGUACAUCAUGACUUAGUUUGCAUCGUAGGUUCUACAGAGUCUUGCUGUCAUAUUCUCCUUUUUCAUCUUAACCUGACUUCCCCUUCAAACAAAAGAAAAUAUUUAUGAUUGUUUAACUCUCUCUCUCCAUAUAUAUAUAUAUAUAUAUGCAUAUGUAUAUAUAUAUAUGUAUAU
rnacentral:lncRNA from 1 species